UACGUAGGGGGCCAGCGUUGUUCGGAAUUACUGGGUGUAAAGGGCGCGUAGGCGGCGGGGUAAGUCUGGUGUGAAAUCUCGGAGCUCAACUCCGAAAUUGCACUGGAUACUGCUCUGCUAGAGGGCUGGAGAGGAGAUCGGAAUUCACGGUGUAGCAGUGAAAUGCGUAGAUAUCGUGAGGAAGACCAGUGGCGAAGGCGGAUCUCUGGACAGCUCCUGACGCUGAGGCGCGAAGGCUAGGGGAGCAAACGGG
rnacentral:rRNA from 1 species